rnacentral:lncRNA from 1 species
GAAACUCAAUUUUAUUUUGCGAGAAAUAUUACAAUGAGAAACUUUAAUAUUCUUAUAUACCAUGCAUUGUUGGUGUUGUUCUCAAAUCUCAAUUGUUGAGUUCAACUCAGCAACAGCCAAUGAAAAAAUGAUGAAGUGCAAAGACCUUCAAUUUCCUAAGGAAGUUUUCAUCCUUAAAAAGUUUGAAGAGUNNNNNNNNNNNNNNNNNNNNNNNNNNNNNNNNNNNNNNNNNNNNNNNAAAAAAAAAACUCUUCAAAGAUUGGAAUCUUCCUUAGGAAAUUCUUGAAGAGUUGAAACUAAGUAAUUGUAGUCUUUCUGAUGCCAUGGAUUUUCCAUUAUAUUGGCAUAAAAAAGGUAAACUUUCAUCACCCCAAUAGUAUGAUGACUUUCAUCUUCCUUAUUUGCAACUAUACCAUUAAGAUUUAUUUUUCAUAACAGAAUGAUUAGUUCAACAUUAGGAGGAACAAGACAUUAGUUAAUACUCGUAAGUGAUUAGUAACCUGUGUGGAAUGCAGGUUUCAAGGUUUGGAUUUGGAUGUGGAGGAUUAUCAGGAAUUUACUAUGCUCCCCUGUCACAUGAAGAUGGAUGUUCAAUUAUUAAGGAAGUAUUCAAUAGAGGGGUUACCUUUUUUGGUACAUCCGAUCUCUACGGACACAAACAUCAUAAUGAAAUCAUGGUUGGUUAUUGUAAGUCUGAAUGUUGAAAAUACAUAAGCAUUGUAUGAUUUGCACAAGUGAUUCACAAAUACAUAACUCUUUAGAUGUGACAAAUGUUAUCUUCAUGUACUUAUAUUUCUUACUGAUAUCAUUUAAUAUGGUAUACAUAUAGGUUUGUUUACAUAUUAUACCGUCAUCUUUUGUGGAAAAACAAACUUACAAGUGACUUUUUUCUCGUGUCAUAGGCAUUAAAAGAACUUCCACGCGAAAAAGUCUAGUUGACUACGAAGUUUGUUAUUACUAUGUCUGAUGGGUUGGUUUUUGGAGUAAACGGUGCACCUGAAUAUUAGAGGGAGUGUUGUGAAGCUAGUCUCAAGCGGCCUGGUGUUAAGUAUAUUGAUUUAUAAUAUCAACACCGAGUUGACACUUCAGUUCCGAUUGAAGACACUUGUAAGCUUUGAAUGGUCUUAACGGUGACCUCUAUAUGAAAGACGGAGGAGCUCAAACAACUGGUAAAUGAAGGAAAGAUAAGAUAUAUUGGGCUAUCAGAGGCUAAUGCUGACACUUAAAGAGAGCACAUGCAGUCCAUCGUAUUACUGCUUCGGAAAUGGAGUAUUCCUUAUGGUCCCGUGACAUCGAAGAAGAAAUAAUUCCACUCUGCAGGUAUAGACAUUGAAAAAAGUUCUGCUCAUAACAUAUAUGAAAUUGUUUUUACUGUGAGUAAGAAGCUUUGUGUACUUGCAGAGAACUUGGCAUCAGAAUAGUGGCAUACCGCAUACAGCCCUCUUGGUCGUGGCUUUUUCGCAGCAAAGUCACUUGUAGAGACUUUGCCUAGUGAUGUGGACGGAGUAGCUUCCACAUACAAUGAAUGAUCUCAUCAAGUGAUUCUUGAAGCAUGGUAUCAAAUGAAAGGGGAAAAGAAUGAAACAAAAGAUGGAUUUGAGGAAGGAGAUGGUAAGAAGGCGCCACAAUCAUGAUGAUUGAUAAGCCAAGAGGAAUCGCCACAAUGGUAAGGAUGCCAUUGAUAAGAUUCAAUUAGGUUCUAAUCCAAGAACCAAAGAGGAGUCACACUCACUCUCACAAAUCUCACUAAGAGAUAUUUCUAUUUCAUUUCAAACUUUUUUUUCAAAUAAGAUUACAAAUGUCUAUUUAAAGCAAAACCCUAAAUCUACAUGGGCCAUAAGUGACACCAUUAUAGGCCUAUAUUGGACUUAUAGCAUUUAAUUAAAAUAAAGCUAAAACUAUUACAAUUUAAAUUAAAAGAAACUAACAAUCAUUAAAUUAAUUUAUUAAAAUAUUGAUUCUCUCCAUGCUCAUGAGGUCCUCAUCACCUAGUCAGAGCUUGCUGGUAUGCAGCUAGUUACAAGUAAUACAGCUUUAUGUUUGCAUGAAUUUGGAAAUUUUCCUAAAAAUGAUGGUCAAAAAAAUAACAUUAUUGAGAGAAGUGUUGGACAAUUUGUUGAAUCACAUAUCUGCUGAUGGAAAAAAAAGCCAUAGAUACCUUCCUUGCACUGAUUUUAUUUUUUCCUGUAUAUAUAACAGGCUAUGGAUCCAAGGUUCACAGGAGAAAAUUUGGAAAAGAACAAGCUUUUCUAUGAAAGAAUCAAUGACUUGGCUUCGAAGCAUGCAUGCACUCCAUCUCAAUUAGCCUUAGCAUGGCUUCUCCAUCAGGGAAAUGACAUAAUCCCUAUCCCUGGUACUUUCUUCAUUUAUAUUUAGGAAGAAUACUUGUGUUGUGUCUUCGACAUAUGGCUUCUCCAUCAGGGAAAUGUCGAUAAUAUUAUACUUCCAAUACCUAUUUGGUUUUGGGGCAAAUUACAAGCACUAGAACGAUUGAACAUUUCAAACAACAAUAUUACCGGAAAGAUUCCCAAAUUGGAACUCAAGCGUACCAACUAUCCUGAAAUAGAUUUGAGUUCAGAUCAACUUGAAAGUUCUGUUCCUUCUUUUUAUUGCAAACAGCAGCACCGAAUCUUUCUUCCAAUAAUAAAUUUUCAGAUUUAGUUUCCUUUGUAUGCAGCAAAAGUAAGUCUAACAAUUUGGUAGUUUUGUAUAUAUCAAACAAUGAAUUAAAGGGUGAGUUGCCUGAUUGUUGG